UACGAAGGGGGCUAGCGUUGCUCGGAAUUACUGGGCGUAAAGGGCGCGUAGGCGGACAGUUUAGUCAGAGGUGAAAGCCCAGGGCUCAACCCUGGAAUUGCCUUUGAUACUGGCUGUCUUGAGUACGGGAGAGGUGUGUGGAAUUCCGAGUGUAGAGGUGAAAUUCGUAGAUAUUCGGAGGAACACCAGUGGCGAAGGCGGCUCACUGGUCCAUUACUGACGCUGAGGUGCGAAAGCGUGGGGAGCAAACAGG
rnacentral:rRNA from 1 species